GCGAAAGGGUUACAAAAAGCCUUCCGUAUAAACAAACUUUAUCAACAAUAUUCGUAGAACUACGUAGCUUAUAGAUAGGUAAGCAUUUGUGAUAUUUAGUACUACGCAGUUCCGCUUCUGUUUUUGUUGGUAAUGUAAUCAAUUACUUAACGUUAAUCCGAUUUUAAUCGAUUUAGCACAUUGACUUAUAUUGAUAAACUUAUUUGUGGUACGCGUACCUAACAUUAAUUGCAUUGAGGAAAGCUGUAUCUAUUUAAACAUUUUUUGUCCACGUCACUUCGAAUAUAAGAAGAUCAGAAAACGUGAAAGCAUGAGGUUUUUUUUAAAGUUUUCUUAUGCGUUCUUUUAACGAAGAAAAGGUGUAUUACACCGGCCCAAACGAUUUUUUGUUUUAGAACAAAAUACGCACCACGCGUUUAUUGCUGAUUUGUCCGUUUUUUGGAUGCCUGAUAUAGGUACUAAGACUGUUAUAGGCAAAGUUUUAACGUGCCUAUUUUAAAGUUAUAAUGAACAUAUGUUUUUAAUUAUUCUAAGAUACCACUGAAAUACGGUUAAUACAUCGUGUGAAAAACUGAAUUUCACAUAUUGUACCUCAAAAUCGCCAACCUGCAACGACCUAGCGUGAUGAAGAAGUUUUGCCAGCAAUGGAACAUGUAGGGACUGGUUUUAUUUUACAAACCACACUGACUCAUUUCCCGACAAUCGUAAAACAACAGGAUUAUGAAUUUACGCCGAAAUUUAUAGAUGUGAAGGAGAUAAGAGUACUUACAAGUGUCCACAUCCAGUGCAUUCAGUACAAACUCAGUUCAAACACCUGUGCACUGAUAACUCUUAUCAUGUGGACUUUGUAGAAGUAUUUUAAGUGCUAUCACAUCGUACGAUAAAAAUAAAUUCAACGGUAAUCGUUGUAUCAGUGAUUUAAUUUUGUUUACGACGUUACGAAUUGAUAUACAGGUGCCGCAGAAAAUACGUCAAAUCGGGACACGUGCAUAUUUUUGUAGAUAUUCAUAGGUGUAUUUUACCUAUCAAAAGUUAUUAGUUACCACAGUAUGGUGCGUAAUGAAUUGCAUUGCAUUGCCUCGCAAAGAUUAAAUGUGGGAGAUGUUUGCAUAGGUUUUGGUCAGUAAGAGUUCUGACACUACCCGCAUCUUAACCGAGAAGGUAACACAGAGAUAUCUUUUUGUCGUGGAGUGAAGACAAUACACGUGCACCGAGCGAAGGUCGUCGUCGCCGGCGCAGGCGCACCUGCGUGAAUAAUCGCCGCUUGUUUAUCGGUGUGAUAGCGAGCCUGAAAAACCAAGUAACGGGACCGACUAUUUAAAUUCUUGAUAACUAUAAA